rnacentral:rRNA from 1 species
CCUACGGGGGGCAGCAGUGAGGAAUUUUCGGCAAUGGGGGAAACCCUGACCGAGCAACGCCGCGUGCAGGAAGACGGCCUUCGGGUUGUAAACUGCUUUUCUCUGGGAAGAGCAAGGACGGUACCAGAGGAAGAAGCCCCGGCUAACUACGUGCCAGCAGCCGCGGUAAUACGUAGGGGGCGAGCGUUGUCCGGAGUUACUGGGCGUAAAGCGCACGCAGGCGGUCAGCUAAGUGUGGGGUGACAGGUCACGGCUUAACCGUGGCAGUGCCUCGCAGACUGGGUGACUUGAGGGCCAAAGAGGGACAGGGAACUCCAGGUGUAGUGGUGAAAUGCGUAGAUAUCUGGAAGAACACCGAUGGCGAAGGCACUGUCCUGGGUGGUACCUGACGCUGAUGUGCGAAAGCUAGGGGAGCGAACGGGAUUAGAUACCCCGGUAGUC